AAUAGAUACCCUGGUAGUCCACGCCGUAAACGUUGGAUACUAGGUGUGGCGGUUAUACCAAUGACUGCCGUGCCGAAGCUAACGCAUUAAGUAUCCCGCCUGGGGAGUACGGCCGCAAGGCUAAAACUCAAAGGAAUUGACGGGUCCCCGCACAAGCGGCGGAGCAUGCGGCUUAAUUCGAUGCAACCCGAAGAACCUUACCUGGGUUUGACAUCACGGGAAAAGCUGUAGAAAUACAGUGUCCAUUAGGGCCCGUGACAGGUGGUGCAUGGCUGUCGUCAGCUCGUGUCGUGAGAUGUUGGGUUAAGUCCCGCAACGAGCGCAACCCUUGUCCUAUGUUGCCAGCGGUUCGGCCGGGGACUCAUAGGAGACUGCCGGGGAUAACUCGGAGGAAGGUGAGGACGACGUCAAGUCAUCAUGCCCCUUAUAUCCAGGGCUGCACGUAUGCUACAAUGGCCGGUACAACGGGCAGCGACCCCGCGAGGGUGAGCGAAUCCUAAAAAGCCGGUCCUAGUUCGGAUUGAAGUCUGCAACUCGACUUC
rnacentral:rRNA from 1 species